GGGGAAAAAGGUUGGAAACCUUUCUUGUAAAUUUAUUGAAUCUUAAUGAUAAACAAAGCAAGUGCAAAGUGAACAGCAACAAUACCUUUAGUAAUGAAAUUUUAAACAACAAUUAAAGAGAUGAGUAACAAGUUCAGAGAAGAAAGCAACAAAUUUUGAAGACAUAGCUACAGGUGCUUGAGAAAAUUCUAUAUCAAGCUAUUGAAUUAGAUGUUGCCCAUUGAAAAAGGUAAGGAUCCUUCUCUAACUUAGUUAGGGAACUAUUUACAAGAGCAUUCCAACUUUUAAACAGUAAUGCUUAAUAAUGGUUCAUCAUUUAAGAUAAAUCUGAUCACGAUUAAACAUGGUAGGAAGGAGUUCAUAAGUAGCCAAUAAACACAUUAUCAAAACAAAUAUUUAUGGCACUGGUAGCAUGCAGGCUAUGCUGAUAUUGGCAUCCAGAUAUCAUGAAGCUUCCCUGCUGUAAAUGUUAAAUACAUCAUAUCGCAUGAGUAAAUUAUAUACAUGGCACUUUAACUUAGGGAUAUGUAACAGUAAAGUACCUAAACUUUAAUUUGCAACAUAAAGCCUCUUGAUCUUUAAUUUUAGUAACAUAAAACACCCUAGUAACUUUCAAUUGUUAGUUUCUAGAUUAUUUAUGCUGACAUGAUAUUUAUCAAAUUGAAAAAUUAUAUUUUCAUGGAUUGAUAGUUUCUAAUAGACAAAUUUUGAUUUAUUGAAGUGUCGAUUUAUGCAAUUUGAAUCGUUAGAACUGUUGGUAAAUAGGUAACAAAAUUAUUUUUUUCUUCCCCGAUAAGCGUUAAAUUAACGAAGAGAAAAUAUAAAUUUUAAUAUAACAGGUGUCACUUCAGAAAAAAUAAUUUAGAAACUAGCUAAUGAAUAUCACAAGAGGGUUUUAUAUUAUUUAAAUUAAAAAUUAGGAGAUUUUGUAUUACAAAUUGAAAUUUAAGUACCUUACUAUUACGUAUUUCUAAGUUGAGGUACUGUCUAUAAUUUACUUUACACUACAUCCUACAAAUUAGUUUUCCAAAUUUUAACAUCUUACUAAGGUCUUGAAUUCUUGAUAACUUUCAAGUGUUAAAAACAAGGAAAAAAAGAGAAAUCCCACAGAGAUGAAAUUUAUAAUCAACAAAACAAAAUCACAUAAACUUUGGCUCCUCGUCACAUAUUACUCAUAUUAAUCAUUUUCAAAAUAUAUUUUGCCAC
rnacentral:misc_RNA from 1 species